AUAACAGUAAUUUUCAGUGCAGAAAUCAUGAUAUGCAUAAAAUUUUGAAGAGGUAACAUAAUCAGAAUGCUUAAAUUCGUAUCUUGUUCAGUCGUUCCUUGUACAACAUCAGUUUUUAUCUUCCUUUGUCUUUAAUUUCUAAUAUGCUACAGCUCAGGUGAAGCAACUCGCAAAGUAAGGGCCUAACGAAUAGUGAGCGAUGAUGUAGGGUCCAAAGGGCAGAGGCCUUUUGGCUACCUGUAAAAGCUUGAUUCAGCAAGUUCGAAACAGCUGUAGUCACUUGUUCGGAAAUGUUGAUGACCAUUAAGUGAGAAUAUUAAAUAACUUACCAUUGUGAAUUAUGUUGAUUAAGUUUUUGCUAAAGAAAAUCCUUCUUUCGAAUUUCCAGCUUCUUGCUCUGAAGCAAGUUGCCUUUUCCUUUUUUGAUUUUCUAUAUCUCGCAAUACUCCUUCAUGCAUUCUCAUUCUGAAAAAUGAGCAUUGUUUCACUAACACUUAAUAAAGAAGAAAAGAGGAUAAAAAUUCGGGAAUGAAAAAUUAAAUACUUUAAACGACUGAGAUGAAAUUAACAGUACAUCACAGGUACACAUUGGGCAUACUUGGGCUCUACACCCAAUCCAAUCCAUGAUCCAUGCCAGACAUAGCUAGACAUGACUAAUGACUGAACAAGUCUGAACAUGUUUGGCUCCUUGGUCCAAGGUCACCCAGUGAUGCCUACCAUGUAUGUAAAGAAGGAAAAUUUUGGGUUAAGCGCAAAAAUGAAACAGUGAACAUUAUUUAAAUUGAGUGAUAUAUAUUAAUAUUUAUAAUACUGACCUGUGUGAAACACUUUUUCUUUUUUCAAAGUUUUCUUCCGGAGCCAUCGCCAAUGGGAGCUGUCUCCCAUCAAAUCUAUGCAGACAGUAAUCUAGAGAUACACGAUGAAGAGUUCAUUUGCGAGUGUUGACAACUCUAGUUUGGUGAACACAAUCAGCACUAUUUUAGAACAUCUCGGACGCAAGAAGGAGAACUACCCUGGGAAAUAUCUCAGCAGGGACCAUAUUUCUGGAAAUCUUCUUUUUCCUUUUUCUGCAACCCAGAAACCACCUACCCUAGCAGAAAUCUCAAGGAAAGCAGAGACAGAGGUUCUAACGAUUGAUGAUGUCAAGACGGAUCAUAAUUCAAAGACUUUUAAAGUUUUCUUAAACCAAAGUAUUGUUUUUCAAACUACAUUAGAAACAGUUGCUGACUAUGCAGAAACUUAUGGGGCAAAUUUUUCAGUUGGAAUACAAUAUCAGAUGACAAAUCUGAGCCAACCCUUCGAAGAAUCAGACCACCUAUCUCUCUAUCGCUUGUAUUUGAGCUCUGAUGUUUUAAGAAGCUUUUCUUUGUUCGUUGAAGCUGGGAAAAGUGUGUAUGAAAAUUCUAAUAGAAGGCAUGGAGAUUGUGAAUCAAAGAAUAUUUUGGUAUGCAGUCAUCAGACCAGGACACGGAGAUGUAGUCAGACCAUUCAGGUUGUAUGCCGAACAGAAGUAAAUCAAUUGAAUGGCAGAAAAAACUUAGACAUUAGUUAUGCAGCAUAUAAAAUACUCAGGGAAAAGGAUGUCAAGAGAGAUGAUGAGUUUAAGAAUGAUGAUAGUUCAAAAAUUUCAAGAAUCGUCGAUGCUUGUAUAUCUUUUGAUCUCUUAACGACCAAACUUAGUAUGCCUGUUCAUCUGAACAUUGAUGCUGAUCGUAUUACAUCUCGAAAUCCGUCCACCAAAGGUAAGAUUUUUGGUAUACCGAAGAUGAGAGAGAAACUGAUGAAUGCCAAAACGGUUUCUAUCUUGUAUCUCAAACAUGAGUUGCCGAUCUUGGUUCUAAAUUUUAAAGAAUGA
rnacentral:lncRNA from 1 species